ensembl:ncRNA F48C1.13 ncRNA
CGGUGUAGACGACGACGACGACGUUGUCGUUGGUGGUGUGGACCAGAAGAGAGAGAAAUAGUAGGGAGAGAGCUUGGUUUGCAACGAGAGAAAAAGGGAAGCGCGCAGUCUCUCCAUCUCCAUCUCUCUCUCUCUCUAUACCAUUCCC